UAAGCGGAGGAAAAGAAACUAACAAGGAUUCCCCUAGUAACGGCGAGUGAAGUGGGAAAAGCUCAACUUUGUAAUCUGGCAGCUUCGCUGUCCGAGUUGUAGUCUCGAGAAAUGUUUUCCGCGCUGGCAUGUGUAUGAGUCUGUUGGAAUACAGCGUCAUAGAGGGUGAGAACCCCGUUCAUGACACAUCUCCCAGUGCUUUGUGAUACAUUUUCGAUGAGUCGAGUUGUUUGGGAAUGCAGCUCAAAAUGGGUGGUAAAUUCCAUCUAAAGCUAAAUAUUGGCGAGAGACCGAUAGCAAACAAGUACCGUGAGGGAAAGAUGAAAAGCACUUUGGAAAGAGAGUUAAAAGUACGUGAAAUUGUUGAAAGGGAAACGCUUGAAGUCAGACGUGCGCAGUGCGAUUCAGCUCUAUUUCGGUAGAGUGUAUUUCGUGCUAUUGCAGGCCAGCAUCGGUUUUGCGAGCCGGAUAAAGGUUUGAGGAAGGUAGCGUCUUCGGGCGUGUUAUAGCCUCUUACUGAAUACGGAUUGCGAGACCGAGGGACGCAGCACGGCGAAAGCCAGAGGGUCCGCCCUCUUCGUGCUUAGGAUGCUGGUGAAAUGGCUUUAAACGACCCGUCUUGAAA
rnacentral:rRNA from 1 species